GACGAACGCUGGCGGCGCGCUUAACACAUGCAAGUCGAACGGAAAGGCCCUGCUUUUGUGGGGUGCUCGAGUGGCGAACGUGUGAGUAACACGUGAGUAACGUGCCCUUGACUUCGGGAUAACUUCAGGAAACUGGGGCUAAUACCGGUUAGGAGCUCCUGCUCCACGGUGGGGGUUGGAAAGUUUCGGCGGUUGGGGAUGUACUCGCGGCUUAUCAGCUUGUUGGUGGGGUAGUGGCUUACCAAGGCUUUGACGGGUAGCCGGCCUGAGAGUGUGAACGGCCACAUGGGGACUGCGGUACGGCCAAGACUCCUACGGGAGGCAGCGGUGGGGGAUGGUGCACAAUGGGAGGAAGCCUGAGGCGGGAACGACGCGUGCGGGAUGACGGACUUCGGGUUGUAAACCGCUAUCGCCUGUGAUGGAGCGUGAGUGACGGUAGUGGGUAAAGAAGCACCGGCUAACUACGUG
rnacentral:rRNA from 1 species